UUGGCACUCGGGUGGGAAUCUGAAUACAGCCGACGUAGCCCAUAUCGAGCUCGAGACCUAACCUGAUGUGACAAUUGAGGGAAAGCGACUGACAUAUAGGUGACGCUUUGAAAUAUUGUGGCGACCCUAAUUAGGAUAUUAAUUUUUUACUGUUCCAUAACUUCUUACAAAGCUAAUCACCUAAUUACUUUCUGUAAUAACCACUCCUCUAAAUUUAUCUUUCACUCCGAAUGACAUUUUUUCUCUCCUUAAAAAACAACCUCCCAAGCUUUGUCGUUUACUUCUUGCCUUGAGUCCAAUGACUUAAGAAUUUAAAACUUCCUUGACUGGACUCGUUUUUCGCGUGCCCACUGCCCUUCUUUAUUGAUCUACCUCUGGCUUUAUCCCCCCCACUUUACUUUCGAUACUCCAGACGUCAUUUACGAGACUCGCCGACCGUCAUUACACAGUGGCCAUUUUCGAUACUGGCCAAUACUGGCCGUAUCGAUGAUGUACGUAUUUUUCUCCAUAACCUGGGUCAUUUUUUAAUAAGAAGAAGAAUAAGACGCUGUAUGUACGUGUUUAAGGCCACUCACUUCAAGAAUUGAUAUUGGAACGAAAUACAUCACAUAAGAAUACAUCACUUGCUAUUAUUUGGAUACAAUCUGGCAUGCGGUACCUAAGCUUAAUGUAAUAAUUCGUCACGCUUCGAGUGAAAGUGGACAGAAGAAAGAAAAUUUGAGACCCUUAGAAUUGUAUCUUUAUCGAGGAAAACUGAUAGAAUUCUUUUAUACUAGACAUUUUAUUAACUGAAUGAUUUGGAUCAUUCAAGAUAU